CUCGUAGGUGGUUGAUCGCGUCGGAAGUGUAAUCUUGGGGCUUAACCCUGAGCGUGCUUUCGAUACGGGUUGACUUGAGGAAGGUAGGGGAGAAUGGAAUUCCUGGUGGAGCGGUGCAAUGCGCAGAUAUCAGGAGGAACACCAGUGGCGAAGGCGGUUCUCUGGGCCUUUCCUGACGCUGAGGAGCGAAAGCGUGGGGAGCGAACA
rnacentral:rRNA from 1 species